AAGUCGUAACAAGGUUUCCGUAGGUGAACCUGCGGAAGGAUCAUUAGUGAUUACUCAUAAUUACAAGGAGAGGAGGUACUAGAGGGUUUGGGGGAAGGGUGAUGCUUGCGUGUCAUGUUUUUCCCGCCCCAACACCAACUAAUAACACCUACUAAAUUGCCAAUCAAAAGAAUUCAUAACUAAUAAAACUUGCAACAAUGGAUCUCUUGGCUCUU
rnacentral:misc_RNA from 1 species